GGGAAUGUGGUUCAGUGGUAGAGUGCUUGCCUUGCAUGCAUGAGGCCCUGGGUUCAAUUCCUCAGCACCA
rnacentral:tRNA from 1 species